rnacentral:rRNA from 2 species
CACUGCUCUGACGGAUGCUUUUAUUAGACCAAGCCGCUGAGGACUUGAGGGUUCGCUCUCCUGUCUGACUCGUGUAAUGGUGACUCUGGAUAACCAAUUCUGACAAGCGCACGUACUUCUCUUCUGAGCGAGACGGCGCUGCCACUUUCGAGUGUCUGCCUUAUCAGCUAUCAACCGUUCGUUAUGCGCGACCGAUGGCUUUGACGGGUAACGGGGAAUCAGGGUUCGAUUCCGGAGAGGCAGCCUGAGAGACGGCUACCACGUCCAAGGACGGCAGCAGGCACGCAAAUUACCCAAUCCCAGUAAAUGGGGGAGGUAGUGACGAAAUCUAACGAUGCGGGCGCCCUUUCUGGGGCCCCGCAAUCGGAAUGGGCACUUUCUAAACAACCUGUUGAGAACCUACUGAAGGGCAAGUCUGGUGCCAGCAGCCGCGGUAAUUCCAGCUUCAGCAGCAUCUAUUAAAGUUGCUGCGGUUAAAAGGCUCGCAGUUGAAUGUCUGUAUCGAGCGCAGGUCAGGUGGACGUUGGGGCGUGGAAGUACGGGCAGUUGGAUGUCCGUGGGGCCUUCGUGCUCAACGGCUCCUUCGGCUUUUCCACACACCCCCGUCCGUGACAAGCCUCCUCGCUCGGGUACAUAACGGGAAUCGGUCAAACGGAGUGUGGUUGGAGGUUGGGGUGCGUGGCUUCUGUUGCGUGCUUCUUCUUUCGGCUGCGUUAAGCUCCAUCGGUUUCACGGUCACCUUGAGUAAAUCAGAGUGCUCAAAGCAGUCGUAGGGGCCUUGCGCCCUGUGAACAGUCUUGACGGACUGACUUGGUUUUGCAUGGCAUGUCGGAAGACGACGUCGUGUGCUGGCUCAGAGGAUAAAUCAGUGGUACAAGCCAGCCUCGACGUAAUGAUUAAAAGGGACGGUCGAGGGCAUUGGUAUUGCGAGGCGAGAGGUGAAAUUCUGUGACCCCCGCAAGACCUCCUGAAGCGAAAGCGUCUGCCAAGGACGUUUU